GAUGAAGAACGGUAGCGAAAUGCGAUAAGUAAUGUGAAUUGCAGAAUUCAGUGAAUCAUCGAAUCUUUGAACGCACAUUGCGCCCGCCAGUAUUCUGGCGGGCAUGCCUGUUCGAGCGUCAUUUCAACCAUCAAGCCCCAGGCUUGUGUUGGAGCCCUGCGGCUGCCGCAGCCUCCCAAAACCAGUGGCGGGCUCGCUAUCACACCGAGUGCAGUAGUUUACUCUUCGCUCAGGGCGUGUGGCGGGUGCUAGCCGUAAAACCCCCAACUUCUCAAGGUUGACCUCGGAUCAGGUAGGAAUACCCGCUGAACUUAAGCAUAUCAAUAAGCGGAGGA
rnacentral:misc_RNA from 1 species